GCAUAUCAGACUUUGGAUAUUUGGAUUAUGAAUGCUCAAUGCAUUUUAGUAUUUAAAUUUGACCAUGGGCAAGUUAUUUAACCUCUGAAUCUCACUUUUUUUUUAAAUACCUGUAAAACUGGACCAUUAUACCUGUCUUAUUUUUAAAAAAAGGGCAGAAGAGGUGUAAUAAUGUGCAGCAAGGACAUGGCACAGAGGAGCUUCUGGUGAAGGGAACUUCAUGCUGGAGAGCCUGCACUGACCAAAGCCCACCCCGGGACCUGCUUUGUGCCUUUCCUUCUGUGUCUAAGUUGAACCGCAUUCCCCAGAGAACUGACAUCUCUCCAGAGUGGAUUCUACUUCAGGGGUUACUAGACACUAAAUCCAAAGGAGUGGUACAGUGAGAACCAGAGAACACAGAAGUGAGCCCGAGAGAAGAGGGCGUGUUAUCCUGACCAUAUUCACAGUUCCACCCU
rnacentral:lncRNA from 1 species